ACCAUCUGACCAAACCAAAUAGAGACAUUAAAAGGCUCUCCACAGUCAGGACGUGACAUAUAAAGAGAUAAUAAUACAUUGUGGUAGUGUCACUAGUGUUUUGGAGAGGUAUAAAGAGGUAGGUAGAUAUUAUGAUACAUUGUGGUAGUGUCACUAGUGUUUUGGAGAGGUAUAAAGAGGUAGGUAGAUAUUAUGAUACAUCGUGGUAGUGUCACUAGUGUUUUGGAGAGGUAUAAAGAGGUAGGUAGAUAUUAUGAUACAUCGUGGUAGUGUCACUAGUGUUUUGGAGAGGUAUAAAGAGGUAGGUAGAUAUUAUGAUACAUCGUGGUAGUGUCACUAGUGUUUUGGAGAGGUAUAAAGAGGUAGGUAGAUAUUAUGAUACAUCGUGGUAGUGUCACUAGUGUUUUGGAGAGGUAUAAAGAGGUAGGUAGAUAUUAUGAUACAUCGUGGUAGUGUCACUAGUGUUUUGGAGAGGUAUAAAGAGGUAGGUAGAUAUUAUGAUACAUCGUGGUAGUGUCACUAGUGUUUUGGAGAGGUAUAAAGAGGUAGGUAGAUAUUAUGAUACAUCGUGGUAGUGUCACUAGUGUUUUGGAGAGGUAUAAAGAGGUAGGUAGAUAUUAUGAUACAUCGUGGUAGUGUCACUAGUGUUUUGGAGAGGUAUAAAGAGGUAGGUAGAUAUUAUGAUACAUCGUGGUAGUGUCACUAGUGUUUUGGAGAGGUAUAAAGAGGUAGGUAGAUAUUAUGAUACAUCGUGGUAGUGUCACUAGUGUUUUGGAGAGGUAUAAAGAGGUAGGUAGAUAUUAUGAUACAUCGUGGUAGUGUCACUAGUGUUUUGGAGAGGUAUAAAGAGGUAGGUAGAUAUUAUGAUACAUCGUGGUAGUGUCACUAGUGUUUUGGAGAGGUAUAAAGAGGUAGGUAGAUAUUAUGAUACAUCGUGGUAGUGUCACUAGUGUUUUGGAGAGGUAUAAAGAGGUAGGUAGAUAUUAUGAUACAUCGUGGUAGUGUCACUAGUGUUUUGGAGAGGUAUAAAGAGGUAGGUAGAUAUUAUGAUACAUCGUGGUAGUGUCACUAGUGUUUUGGAGAGGUAUAAAGAGGUAGGUAGAUAUUAUGAUACAUCGUGGUAGUGUCACUAGUGUUUUGGAGAGGUAUAAAGAGGUAGGUAGAUAUUAUGAUACAUCGUGGUAGUGUCACUAGUGUUUUGGAGAGGUAUAAAGAGG